GAUGAACGCUGGCGGCGUGCCUAAUACAUGCAAGUCGAGCGAACCACUUCGGUGGUGAGCGGCGAACGGGUGAGUAACACGUAGGUGAUCUGCCCAUCAGACGGGGACAACGAUUGGAAACGAUCGCUAAUACCGGAUAGGACGAAAGUUUAAAGGUGCUUCUGGCACCGCUGAUGGAUGAGCCUGCGGCGCAUUAGCUAGUUGGUAGGGUAAAGGCCUACCAAGGCGACGAUGCGUAGCCGACCUGAGAGGGUGAACGGCCACACUGGGACUGAGACACGGACCAGACUCCUACGGGAGGCAGCAGUAGGGAAUCUUCGGCAAUGGGCGAAAGCCUGAUGGAGCAACGCCGCGUGCAGGUUGAAUGCCUUCGGGUUGUAAACUGCUUUUAUAUGUGACGAACGACUUUAGUAGGAAAUGGCUAGAGUGUGACGGUACCUUAUGAGAAAGCCACGGCUAACUACGUGCCAGCCGCCGCGGUAA
rnacentral:rRNA from 1 species